rnacentral:rRNA from 2 species
UAAAUUGAGAGUUUGAUCCUGGCUCAGGAUGAACGCUGGCGGCGUGCCUAAUACAUGCAAGUCGAACGAAACUUCUUUAUCACCGAGUGCUUGCACUCACCGAUAAAGAGUUGAGUGGCGAACGGGUGAGUAACACGUGGGCAACCUGCCCAAAAGAGGGGGAUAACACUUGGAAACAGGUGCUAAUACCGCAUAACCAUAGUUACCGCAUGGUAACUAUGUAAAAGGUGGCUAUGCUACCGCUUUUGGAUGGGCCCGCGGCGCAUUAGCUAGUUGGUGGGGUAAAGGCUUACCAAGGCAAUGAUGCGUAGCCGAACUGAGAGGUUGAUCGGCCACAUUGGGACUGAGACACGGCCCAAACUCCUACGGGAGGCAGCAGUAGGGAAUCUUCCACAAUGGGCGAAAGCCUGAUGGAGCAACGCCGCGUGGGUGAAGAAGGUCUUCGGAUCGUAAAACCCUGUUGUUAGAGAAGAAAGUGCGUGAGAGUAACUGUUCACGUUUCGACGGUAUCUAACCAGAAAGCCACGGCUAACUACGUGCCAGCAGCCGCGGUAAUACGUAGGUGGCAAGCGUUAUCCGGAUUUAUUGGGCGUAAAGGGAACGCAGGCGGUCUUUUAAGUCUGAUGUGAAAGCCUUCGGCUUAACCGGAGUAGUGCAUUGGAAACUGGGAGACUUGAGUGCAGAAGAGGAGAGUGGAACUCCAUGUGUAGCGGUGAAAUGCGUAGAUAUAUGGAAGAACACCAGUGGCGAAAGCGGCUCUCUGGUCUGUAACUGACGCUGAGGUUCGAAAGCGUGGGUAGCAAACAGGAUUAGAUACCCUGGUAGUCCACGCCGUAAACGAUGAAUGCUAAGUGUUGGAGGGUUUCCGCCCUUCAGUGCUGCAGCUAACGCAAUAAGCAUUCCGCCUGGGGAGUACGACCGCAAGGUUGAAACUCAAAGGAAUUGACGGGGGCCCGCACAAGCGGUGGAGCAUGUGGUUUAAUUCGAAGCAACGCGAAGAACCUUACCAGGUCUUGACAUCUUUUGCCAAUCCUAGAGAUAGGACUUUCCCUUCGGGGACAAAAUGACAGGUGGUGCAUGGUUGUCGUCAGCUCGUGUCGUGAGAUGUUGGGUUAAGUCCCGCAACGAGCGCAACCCUUAUUGUUAGUUGCCAGCAUUAAGUUGGGCACUCUAGCAAGACUGCCGGUGACAAACCGGAGGAAGGUGGGGAUGACGUCAAAUCAUCAUGCCCCUUAUGACCUGGGCUACACACGUGCUACAAUGGACGGUACAACGAGUCGCAAGACCGCGAGGUUUAGCAAAUCUCUUAAAGCCGUUCUCAGUUCGGAUUGUAGGCUGCAACUCGCCUACAUGAAGUCGGAAUCGCUAGUAAUCGCGGAUCAGCAUGCCGCGGUGAAUACGUUCCCGGGCCUUGUACACACCGCCCGUCACACCAUGAGAGUUUGUAACACCCAAAGCCGGUGGGGUAACCUUUUGGAGCCAGCCGUCUAAGGUGGGACAGAUGAUUAGGGUGAAGUCGUAACAAGGUAGCCGUAGGAGAACCUGCGGCUGGAUCACCUCCUUUCUAAGGA